rnacentral:lncRNA from 1 species
GUUGCAUACCCGGAACUCUGCCACCUUACUUACCCCAUGCCAAGGGCAGCUGACUGACUUGGAGAGACAGCACCAGGGAGCUGUUUGUGCCCCAGGACUCAGCGUGAGAGUAAUUGAGGCUUCUUUUUUCUCCUGGCAUCACCCCGUGUGUUAAAUUAAUGCAAUGGCAGGGCUUACUCUUUUAUUACACAAGUUCACCUGGGCUCCAUCACAGCAGGAAGGGGCCUUCUCUGAGAGCCUGACCCAGGGGCGCUUACCAAGAGGGCAGAAGAAUAAGCUGCCUAAGUUCCACCAUGGCUGGAUCUCGGGAGCGCUGGUUCUCCUCCUGGCCCAUGCCGGGGCUAUGGACACAGACAGCCACUACAGUGCAUGCGCAGAUGCUCCUGAAAAAGGACUUCCGGCACUGCAGUGGAAGAAGCCAAGCAUGAUGGGAAAAGUGUGUCAGAACGAAGCAGAAGUAUUUCAGAGGGGAUUAGUGGCAAUGUGUCUUCUGUGGUAAUAAAG